rnacentral:rRNA from 1 species
AAUCGGGCCGCGUCGACGCAGAGGCAGGCGGAAUUCGUGGUGUAGCGGUGAAAUGCUUAGAUAUCACGAAGAACCCCCGAUUGCGAAGGCAGCUUGCUGGAGCGUAACUGACGCUGAUGCUCGAAAGUUUGGGUGUCAAACAGGAUUAGAUACCCUGGUAGUCCACACGGUAAACGAUGGAUACUCGCUGUUGGCGAUAUACAGUCAGCGGCCAAGCGAAAGCAUUAAGUAUCCCACCUGGGGAGUACGCCGGCAACGGUGAAACUCAAAGGAAUUGACGGGGGCCCGCACAAGCGGAGGAACAUGUGGUUAAUUCGAUGAUACGCGAGGAACCUUACCCGGGGCUUAAAUUAUGCACUGAAUGAUCUGGUAGACAGGUCAGCCGCAAGGCAUGUAUGAAGGUGCUGCAUGGUUGUCGUCAGCUCGUGCCGUGAGGUGUCGGCUUAAGUGCCAUAACGAGCGCAACCCUUUUCNGCCUAGUUUACAACAGGCAAUGCUAGAGGACUCGUGGCGGUACUCG